GCCUCGAUAGCACAAUUGGCCAGUGCGCCUGCAUCGUAAGCAGGAGGUUGUCGGUUCGACCCCGGCUCGCGGCACCA
rnacentral:tRNA from 1 species